GCCCCGGUAGCAUAAUUGGAUAAUGCUUUCCCCUCACUCAGGAAAUGAUGCGGGUUCGAAUCCCGCCUGGGGCG
rnacentral:tRNA from 1 species